GUGCUUGCUUUGGCAGCACAUAUACUAAAACUGAAGUGAUACAGAGAAGAGUAGCAUGGCCCCUGCGCAAGGAUUACAUGCAAAUUUGUGAAGUGUUCCAUAUUUCU
ensembl:snRNA U6 U6 spliceosomal RNA